AGAGUUUGAUCCUGGCUCAGAACGAACGCUGGCGGCGUGCCUAACACAUGCAAGUCGAACGGGAUUUGAGAGCUUGCUCUUAAAUUUAGUGGCGCACGGGUGAGUAACGCGUAGAUAAUCUGCCUGAUGAUCUGGGAUAACACUUCGAAAGAGGUGCUAAUACCGGAUAAGCCCACGGAGUCUUUGGAUUCUGCGGGAAAAGGGGGGGACCUUCGGGCCUUCUGUCAUCAGAUGAGUCUGCGUACCAUUAGCUAGUUGGUAGGGUAAUGGCCUACCAAGGCUACGAUGGUUAGCUGGUCUGAGAGGAUGAUCAGCCACACUGGAACUGAGACACGGUCCAGACUCCUACGGGAGGCAGCAGUGGGGAAUAUUGGUCAAUGGGCGAAAGCCUGAACCAGCAAUGUCGCGUGAGUGAUGAAGGCCUUCGGGUUGUAAAGCUCUGUCAGGGGGAAAGAAAAAGCCGGUUAAUACCCGGUGUUGACGGUACCCCCAAAGGAAGCACCGGCUAACUCUGUGCCAGCAGCCGCGGUAAUACAGAGGGUGCAAGCGUUGUUCGGAAUUACUGGGCGUAAAGCGAGUGUAGGCGGCUUAUUAAGUCAGAUGUGAAAUCCCUUGGCUCAACCGAGGAACUGCAUCUGAUACUGGUAAGCUUGAGUGUCGGAGGGGAUGGUAGAAUUCCUGGUGUAGAGGUGAAAUUCGUAGAUAUCAGGAGGAACACCGGUGGCGAAGGCGGCUACCUGGACCGAUAUUGACGCUGAGACGCGAAAGCGUGGGUAGCAAACAGGAUUAGAUACCCUGGUAGUCC
rnacentral:rRNA from 1 species